UUUAAAAGGGCAGUAGUGGAGAAGAAUUCUUUGCAAGCAAAGGGAGAUUCAGAUUAGGAAAAAGAAAAAGAAAAUGGAUCUUGGGUCACCCAAAAUAGAGGCUGUUCUAAGGCUUUGUGCAAUCUUGUUCUUGGUUUUGGUAGCUUGUUUAGUAGGGUUAGAUUCCCAGACAAAGUCUCUUGUAUACCUUGAAAAAACAGUCACAUACAAGGACUUGAAAGCUCUCCAAGCUUUGGUGUACGUGAAUUCUGUGGCUGCUUGUUAUAAUCUCAUUCAACUAAUAAGCAGAGGUUCUUUCUUAGCUCGGUACAAGGGAAGCUUUAAGAGUUCUUAUAGAUAUGUGGAUUGGGGUUGUUAUUUGUUGGAUCAGACUGCAGUGUACAUAACAUUUGCCGCAACCUCAGCAGCACUAGAGCACUCAGUUUUGGUAGUGACAGGAGCUGAGGCCAUGCAGUGGAUGAAGUGGUGCAACAAGUUCACCAGAUUCUGCGACCAAAUUGGAGGUGCUUUGAUCUGCAGCUACAUAGCCUGUGCCUUUAUGGGCUUUAUAUCCUCCAUUUCAGCCCUCAAUUUGUUUAGGCUUUACUCACCCAAACACUUUCUGCUCUUAAAGACCAAUUAAUUAUUCUGAACUGGUAAUGUUAAAGUUUCUAAUAGCUACAAAACCUUGUAAGAUUUGAUCUUUUGUAAGUGUAGCAAGAUUUGAUCUUGUCUGGUGAUCUUAUAAAUCAAGGUACUCAUAUGCUUUCUCUUCUUUUCUCUUCUUUUCUGAUGUGAAUGUAUUUCUUUUAUUAUUUGCAUAUAUGGAUUGCUAUUAUCUUGUGUUUUACCGCCAUUACUACAUGUUUGUUUUGGUUUUUUUAUUUUUUAUUUUUUAUUAGGGAUGUGAUAAUUUACUCGAUUUGAGGUGGGUAGGAUUUGGUUUGCUGGGUUCUAUGUUCUCUGUUGCUCUAAGAGUGAUUGCAGUGUUGAUUGAUUACUUUUUUUUUUGUUGGUUAUAAAUUUUAUUUUAUUAUAUAAUUGUCUCUGCAAGGAAAUGGUUAAUAGAUGGAGAAUUUUGCUACUGCUUUAUUAGUUUUACUUAAUUAAUGGUUUAGAUACAGAACUAUGUUGUGUCUAUUUCCUUCACUCUUUUUCUUUCCUAUAGAAGCUGCAGAAUUGCUGCAGAAUUUGUCAUUAGAUUCUCAAGCAAAGACCUUUGAAAUUCCUGAGCCCAACAAUAAGACUUAUGUUUACCAAUAUGGUGGCGUGGAGUCGGGCUUUCCUGCAAAUGGUCAGAUCCAGUCAUCUGAGCGGUCGGCGACACCAUUUCUACCUGAUUUAAUGGAUCCAACGAUGUGCUACCUUCCUAGUGGUUAUCCUUCUCCCGCCUAUUAUUAUGGAAGCUAUAACGGGAAUGGUAAUGAGUGGGAUGACUAUUCUAGAUAUGCAAAUACAGAUGGAGUGGAGAUGGCAUCAGGAGUUUAUGGGGAUAAUGGGCCUGUUAUGUAUCAUAAUGGUUAUGGAUAUGCACCUUAUGGCCCAUAUUCACCUGCAGCUUCCCCAGUUCCAACAUUGGUAAAUGAUGGCCAGAUAUAUGGGCCUCAACACUACCAGUAUCCUGCUUAUUUCCAGCCGCUAACACCUAAUGGUGAAUCAUUCACUCCAAGUCAGGCUGUAUCGUCUCAAGGGGAGCUUACUCCCCCCACUGUCCCUGCUGACCAAAAGUCUUCGCUGGCAGAAGCCACCAAAGUGAAUUCUAGUGCCAUUGUUAGUGGUGCACGAAAGAAGGCAAACAAUGGUUCAAUUCCCACUAAGCCAACAUAUCAAAAUUCAUUGUUGAAUUUGAAUAAUACAAAUGGAAGGGGUAUUUUGCCGGGAGGUAUACCUGCUGCUGAUUAUCAGGAUCCAAGAUUUGGCUUUGACGGGAAGUACAGAGGCACUGGCGUUGCUUCUUCAGUUUUGAAGUCUAAUAAUAUUCCAUAUCCGAGGAACCAUAGUUUCCGGCAAAAUUCCAGUUAUAUGGGAUUGCAUCACCCUGGUCUAAUCUCUGGCACGGGAUCAACUCAUGGGUACAUGAACGGGAUGUACCCAAACAAGUUUUAUGGUCAAUAUGGAAACACUUUUAGGUCUAGUAUGAGCAUUGGAUCGACUGGUUAUGAUUCAAGGAUGAAUGCAAAUGGAUGGUUGGCUGUUGACAGCAAAUAUAAACCCAGAGGGCGAGACAAUGGUUACUUUGGUUAUCGAAAUGAUAGUAUUGACGGUUUAAAUGAGCUAAAUAGGGGACCAAGGGCCAAGGGUUUUAAGAACCAAAAGGGUUUUGCACCUGUCACGUUAGUUGUCAAGGGGCAGAAUGUUCCAUCAAUUGAAACUGUUAAUGAGGGAAAGGAUGAGAUGGCUACUACUCCAGACAAGGAGCAAUAUAACAAAGCAGAUUUCCCUGAUGAUUAUAGUGAUGCUAAAUUUUUUGUUAUUAAGUCUUAUAGCGAGGAUGAUGUCCAUAAGAGCAUAAAGUAUAAUGUGUGGGCCAGCACUCCAAAUGGGAACAAGAAGCUUGAUGCAGCAUAUCAGGAGGCCCAGCAGAAAUCUGGUGGCUGCCCUGUAUUUCUUUUCUUCUCGGUAAAUACUAGUGGGCAAUUUGUUGGCCUUGCGGAGAUGGUUGGGCCAGUUGAUUUUCACAAGAAUGUGGAAUACUGGCAACAGGACAAGUGGACUGGUUGUUUCCCAUUGAAGUGGCACAUUGUAAAGGAUAUCCCUAAUAGUUUAUUGAAGCACAUCACCCUUGAGAACAAUGAGAACAAACCUGUAACCAACAGCAGGGACACACAAGAGGUUAAACUGGAGCUGGGGCUUAAAAUGGUCAAAAUAUUCAAAGACCACUCCAGCAAAACAUGCAUUUUGGAUGAUUUUGGAUUUUAUGAGAAGCGUCAGAAGAUGAUUCAGGAGAAGAAGGCCAAGCAACAGCAGUUCCAGAAACAGGUAUUAGAAAGAAAGCUUGAAGACGAGAAGAAAGAAGUGGCAAAUAUGUCACACAAUACACUGGAGGUUGUGAGUGAUGUGACCCAGGGAAGCAUUUCAAUUGCUCAGUCCAAUGGGGACCUGAAGCCUACUGAGAAUGGCCCAGUUACAAAAGCUGGGAAUGCCUCGAUGGCAAGUAAGCCGCUUGCCUUGGAGAAGCGGAAUGUAGCAAAUGGGAUUGUUAAUGUUUGCUAGCUAUUACCAUCCCCCAGCUGCAUGGAUUAAUUUAAGGUUUAUGUUGCUUGAGAGUAGAAUAUGAAGCUCUAAUUGCUGUGAUUGCUCCUUGGGCCAUGGACUGCAAUUGUGAAGCUGUCUUGCUGCUUUAAAGCGUCAAUAUUGUAAUAGUAGUGCUAAGUCUUGAGAUUCUUCAUUUGUGAUAGCUUGGGUGGGCUGCCUCAAAUUGAAGUAUUUCUAUGACGCAUCUUCCGUGCAUUCGUUGGUUCCUGACAGGUUUUCAUUCCCUAGAAGUAUGGGUUUAGGGUUCUUGUUUUAUUGGCUUUUGUAAUCUUAUAUGACUGGUUUCUAGAUUUCUUUUCCUAUAGUUUCUGUUUUACUUGCAUGUCCAUUUCCUGCCUUUUGAAGGUCUAGAUAUUAGCUUAUCAAGAUCCGUUUAUCCAUAUUUGUAGAGAGCUUUAAGAAAGGUGGGAAAGCAUUUCAAUACAAAGAAGCUUUUCAUUUUCGCACUGAUCAUUGUUGCCUGGCUUCAGUACUUGUCCAAUUAAGUAGUUUUUUUCACUCUGAUGUGUUUGAAUUAUAUAUAAGGUUUGACUCGCCGAGCAACACUUGUGGGCUUUGGCGAGGGUUUGAUAUAUGGAGCCUUGCUUAUGCUAAGGCUUUCCUUUAUAGAGUGGCUGUUUCUAUGCUGAACUAAAUUAGAGUCGCAUUCUGAAU
rnacentral:misc_RNA from 1 species